rnacentral:rRNA from 1 species
CAGCCGCCGCGGUAAUACGAAGGGGGCUAGCGUUGUUCGGAUUUACUGGGCGUAAAGGGCGCGUAGGCGGACUGAUAAGUCAGGGGUGAAAUCCCAAGGCUCAACCUUGGAACUGCCUUUGAUACUGUUUGUCUUGAGUUCGAGAGAGGUAAGUGGAACUGCGAGUGUAGAGGUGAAAUUCGUAGAUAUUCGGAGGAACACCAGUGGCGAAGGCGGCUCACUGGACCAUUACUGACGCUGAGGUGCGAAAGCGUGGGGAGCAAACAGGAUUAGAUACCCCUGUAGUCCCUGUCUCUUAUAC